rnacentral:rRNA from 1 species
UUCCGGUUGAUCCUGCCGGACCCGACUGCUAUCAGAGUGAGAUUAAGCCAUGCGAGUUAACGUAGCAAUACGUGGCGCACGGCUCAGUAACACGUAGUCAACAUGCCCAGAGGACGUGGAUAACCUCGGGAAACUGAGUCUAAACCGCGAUAAGUGAGGAUUUCUGGAAUGGUUCCUGACUAAAAUCUAUAUGGCCUCUGGAUUGGACUGCGGCCGAUCAGGCAGUUGGUGAGGUAAUGGCCCACCAAACCUAUAACCGGUACGGGCUCUGAGAGGAGAAGCCCAGAGAUGGGCACUGAGACAAGGGCCCAGGCCCUAUGGGGCGCAGCAGGCGCGAAACCUCUGCAAUAGGCGAAAGCCUGACAGGGUUACUCUGAGUGAUUUCCGCUAAGGGGAUCUUUUGGCACCUCUAAAAAUGGUGCAGAAUAAGGGGUGGGCAAGUCUGGUGUCAGCCGCCGCGGUAAUACCAGCACCCCGAGUGGUCGGGACGAUUAUUGGGCCUAAAGCAUCCGUAGCCGGUUCUGCAAGUCUUCCGUUAAAUCCAGCCGCUCAACGGAUGGGCCGCGGAGGAUACUAUAGGACUAGGAGGCGGGAGAGGCAAGCGGUACUCAGUGGGUAGGGGUAAAAUCCUUUGAUCCAUUGAAGACCACCAGUGGCGAAGGCGGCUUGCCAGAACGCGCUCGACGGUGAGGGAUGAAAGCUGGGGGAGCAAACCGGAUUAGAUACCCGGGUAGUCCCAG